rnacentral:lncRNA from 1 species
UCAUUUAGAUACUAUAUGAUUUGUGUUUGAUUGAUAUUAUCCAGAUGAUUUUAGAUUUGGGGUUCGGAUCACAUUUUUUCAAUUAAGUUGUAUGUUUAAAAAAAUUUAAAAUCCAUUUCUACUGCGCAACUGAAUCCCAACAAAUAGUAUAUAUAGACCAUAUACAAUACUUAUAAAACCAACCAACAAAAAAAUCCAUAAUAGAAUAUAGAGUUCAAAGACCCCUCGUAGUAUAU